rnacentral:rRNA from 1 species
UCGGGAAUUUUGGGCAAUGGGCGAAAGCCUGACCCAGCAACGCCGCGUGAGGGAUGAAGUAUUUCGGUAUGUAAACCUCGAAAGAAUGGGAAGAAUAAAUGACGGUACCAUUUAUAAGCUCCGGCUAACUACGUGCCAGCAGCCGCGGUAAUACGUAGGGAGCAAGCGUUGUUCGGAUUUACUGGGCGUAAAGGGCGCGUAGGCGGCGCGGUAAGUCACUUGUGAAAUCUCUGAGCUUAACUCAGAACGGCCAAGUGAUACUGCUGUGCUAGAGUGCGGAAGAGGCAACCGGAAUUCUUGGUGUAGCGGUGAAAUGCGUAGAUAUCAAGAGGAACACCUAAGGCGAAGGCGGGUUGCUGGGCCGACACUGACGCUGAUGCGCGAAAGCCAGGGGAGCAAACG